AUGCACAUGUUUCACAAAGAGAAAUGUCACAGACUUGGGAGGUUACUGUAUGUGCCAGUUUCCUGGGAUCUGUGCAUUUUUUUCUUUUUGCAACUAUUACAUGCUCUUUUUUUUCUUGACACAGAAGAUUUUAUAGAGAAAAUUACCCAGAUAAGUUUGGUUAACAGGCUAAUCGGUCAGUUUCCUGAAGAAGUUUCUCUGCUUUGAUCGGAUAACAAAAGUUUAUAGGCUUUGACCCAAGGCUGCUUUUACAUUGCCUUGGGCCUCAGAUUAGAGACCAUAUCAUAAAAGCAUUCUCCUGGGAUUUCAGAGACUUGACUUCAUCAAAAGCUGCCAAGACUUAUUCUCUGGCCUAGAUGCAAUAUAUUGACAAGAUCCAGCCACAACAUUUCUUAAAGCAAUAUUCUGGGUUCAGUACAAGUUCAGUCAACAAUAUUUGUUAUAUUACAGUAUAUUGAUUUGAAAUUAUUUUGACUUGUCCCACAUUUUCAAAAUCAGGGCUACUAUGAGGCACUUACAAAUGUGAACAGUCCCCAUUUACUUUUGUUAAGAAAAUCAUAAAGAAAAAAGAUGGUGAUUUUAGUUUGAAAAAAAAAAAAAAUAUAUAUAUAUAUAUAUAUAUAUAUAUAUAUAUAUUUUUUUUUUUUAUUAUUAUUUUUUUGGGUAAAAAUACACCGUUUUCUGCCCUCAUCGACAUCACAAUGUUGACCAAUAAACCCUAAAACAGCUGUAAAAAAAAAAAAAAUUUAAUAAACAGCUUUACAACCCCAAAAGUACACACAUUUUAACAGAAGAAUUGCUUUUAGAAUUGAUUUUAAAGAGUACACACAUUUUAACAGAAGAAUUGCUUUUUAGAAUUGAUUUUAAAGAAUUACAAGCUUCUCAUUUCUGUGGUCAAAUACUCAAAAAUUUACUUCCAUUGUAAGUGCCUCAUUAUUACUUCCAUUUUUUUAAGAAAAGGAGAAUUGAUUCGAAAUAAUUUAUGUAUUUUUUUAACGUUGUAACAUUAUGCCACAAAUGAGCUUAAAGGGACAGUUCACAUUUACUCAUCCUCAUGUUGUUCCAAACCUAUAAGACUUUUGUUAAUCUUUGGAACACAAAUUAAGAUAUUUUUAAUAUUCUCUCAUAAUUUUUGUCCAUUCAUUGAAGCCUAUGCAAUCAACAUUUCACAGAAUUUCACAGAAGUUCAAACUUUAAUGUUUGAUGUGAGAGAACCAUUGAGGAAUGUUCUCAUGCAGUAUCCAAGCACUCUUGAGAUUCUGGAUGUACUCCCUGUAUGUGCUUUGAUAUAUUUACAUAUGAAAUUAAAUCGGUUUAUCAUGUGUCUGUUCUGAAGACUUGGAUUAAACUCCUUGAUUCAUAUGGAUUGCUUUAACGAUGUAUUUUUGAAGUGUGAGAAGGUUGCUUGUUAAAAAAAUCUUCAUAUAUGUUACAAAAUUGAAAGUCUUAUACUGUAGGCUUGCACAUACAUAAAUGCUGACAGAAUUUAAAUUUUUGUGUUCUCCUUUUAACUUUUACCGAACCUGGAACAUCGCUUUAAACUUUCUUCUGGAGAAUGUUCAUUUUUUUUAGUGUAGUCAGGAUUGGAUUUGAGCUGAUGCAUUUGAGUUACAAAGUGCAGACCAUGGGUGUGGUGGUAAAAGUCACAGAAUCGCACCUUUGCAGCUGUAUUCCAGCCUAUGUGUAGGAGAGAAUUGCUUUGAGUAGAAAACAGCUGGAAGCUUUUAACCGCAUUUGUGUAUAUUAUUGGAAAUGAUGUCAGGAUUUGUGAGGGCACCACUCGGCCUAUGAAAACAAAACUUAGAGCUCAUUCUAGACACAGGAGGCACAAUCCGUUAACUUUCCCAGAGAUCAUGGAUACAGAAGUGUGUGUAAGUGAGGUUUGGAGUUGUUUGGAAUGCUAGACUUGGCUUUGGUCUUAAAAGCAUGCCUGGGAUGGAUGCAUAUGGAAGCGGUCAGUAAUUUAAUUACAGGUCGAGGAAGCACAGAUCGCGGAAAGUAAAAACAUUCAUUGUGACGUGGUUACUGUUGAUCAUACUAAACCCAUUUUAUAUGCCUUAAAAGUUUCAUCUGCUUACUAACAGACUUCCAUAUAGGGCCACUGAGUUUAAUGAGGUUACACUGAGAUUGUUGGUGUAAUGAGGUGGAAAAUCAUGUGAGUGGGAAAGGCCACUAUUUCCUCCAUUUACCUACAUUGAAGACAGCCCACCAGUAAACACAACACAAACCAAUUUAAAGUUCCACAGAGUCACUUUCUUUGCAUAGGGUUAUGGAGCGUGAUGCCCAUCCAUCAUGCUUUAUUUAUAGAAUCAACUCGCCUCUUUCCACCAAGUUGCGCGUUAGGACAUCUUUAUUCAAGCACACAAAUAUGUCAGAGUUAUAGAGGAGACCUAAAAAAAAGUCAAGGUGGUUGAGGAGCAGCAGGUGAAGGCUUUUAAAAUAAUGUUCUUAAAAGAAAACAGCAACAUUUCUGACAUAAUGCUGAUUACCGCAAGAAAAAAAAGAAUUUCUUAAAAUAAAAAAUGUGAAGCUAAAAGAUUUAUCGUGGCCACAAAUUAAGAAUUUAUUCCCUUGUUUUAUUAAUUUGUUCUCUCGUUUUGCAUAAAUCUUGACUGCAAAUUAAGAAUUUGUUCCUUUGACUCAUACAUUCAUUCUUUUGUUUUAUAAAAUAAUAGCCACAUUGUACUAAUUUAUUCUGAUUUCAUUAAAACAAGGGAACAAAGUUGUACAAGUGGCUCAAAUUUACUAAAAUACGGGAAUUAAUUCUUAAUUAAUGGCCACAAUUUAUUUACAAUGAAGGAACAAACUAAUAAUUAGUGGGAAUGAAUUCUUAAUUCAUGGCCGUGUCAUAUGUAGGGCUCUGUCUUUUUUAGAUUUCAGGUGUUUCGUUGAAUAUAACUUCACACUGAAAAAGUUAGUAAGCACUUAUUUUAUUCUAAAAUCUAACUACCUUUGAAACAGUGAGUAUUUGCAAUCUAAAGUUUAGAUGUUUACGAAUUGGCCCCAUUCCCUUACACUUGUAAGUGCCUCAAAUUUUUGCUUUUUGCUUAUGAAGGAAGGAGGAAAAACUUUCACUAAUUUGUGGUAAUCACCAAUAAUGGCCAUACAAAUGGAGCUUAACACCUCCAACCAAGAUUUAUGGAUAAAAGCUGACUAAAAAUAAUCC
rnacentral:lncRNA from 1 species